AUUGAACGCUGGCGGCAGGCCUAACACAUGCAAGUCGAGCGAGCGGCGGACGGGUGAGUAAUGUCUGGGAAACUGCCUGAUGGAGGGGGAUAACUACUGUAAACGGUAUCUAAUACCGCACACCCUCAGAUGUGCCCAGAUGGGAUAAGCUAGUUGGUGGGGUAACGGCUCACCUAGGCGACGAUCCCUCGCUGGUCUGAGAGGUUGACCAGCAAAACUGGAACUGAGCCACGGUCCGGACUCCUCCGGGAGGCAGCAGUGGGGAAAAUUACACAAUGGGCGCAAGCCUGAUACAGUCAAGCCGCGUGUGUGAAGAAGGCCUUCGGGUUGUAAAACACUUUCAGCGGGGAGGCGUUACCCGCAGAAGAAGCACCGGCUAACUCCGUGCCAGCAGCCGCGGUAAUAC
rnacentral:rRNA from 1 species